rnacentral:snoRNA from 1 species
AAGGCCAUACUUUCAGGGAUCAUUUCUAUAGUUGGUGACUAGAGAAGUUUCUCUGAUCGUGCAAAAUUCUAAAAGGAUAAAAAUUAGU